UACGGGGGGGGCAAGCGUUGUUCGGAAUUACUGGGCGUAAAGGGCUCGUAGGUGGCCAACUAAGUCAGACGUGAAAUCCCUCGGCUUAACCGGGGAACUGCGUCUGAUACUGGAUGGCUUGAGUUUGGGAGAGGGAUGCGGAAUUCCAGGUGUAGCGGUGAAAUGCGUAGAUAUCUGGAGGAACACCGGCGGCGAAGGCGGCAUCCUGGACCAACACUGACACUGAGGAGCGAAAGCCAGGGGAGCAAACGGG
rnacentral:rRNA from 1 species